GAGGAGCAGAAGCAGAGCCAGCAUCCUUCCUUUCCCUGAAGAUCUCCCUGGGGAUCAAACUGAGGGUUGGCAGAGAGGACCAGCAUGGCCCCAGAAAUCCUGCAGCUGCUGUUGCUGCUGCUGCUGCCGUCCCUGGGCAUCUCAGGCAAGCCACGGAGGAGUGUGGUUCAGCUCCCGGGCUCUGGAAGACAAGACGUUCAGACUGAGAAGGCACACAAACUGGAGGGGGAGACAUUCAGUGCGAACUGCUCCUAUACGCUCCAGGAAAAUAAAACUAUUUGGAUUUCUUGGUGUAAAAUGCAAGAGAAUAGAGAGGACUGCAAUAUAGUACCCUUAGAAACAAGGUCCAGUUUUAAAGUAGCAGACCGAAUAUACUUGUCCUCUGCUGACGUCAAUAGUGGCAUCGUCACUAUCAUGAUGUCGGGACUCAGAGAAAAUGAUUCAGGUUUCUACAAGUGUGGAAUUCUAUCAAAUUCUCCUGAGAAUGAAGUCAUCAGGAGAUUCCACCUCCAGGUGUCCCCAGCUCAAACACAGAGCCCCAGGAAUCGUAUCCAGGCUAACUCAGAGGACACUUCCAACAACACUAACAGUUCUUCAGAGAAGAAAUUCAUCAUUUUGGGUGUGGUCCUGUCUUGCCUGCUCCUAUUAGUGCUCCUUCUUGUAGGCAUAAUUUGUGCCAGAAGAAUCUACCAGAGAGCAGAGAAAGGUGAUGACUCUGAGACCCAGGGAGAGAAGUUAAAGGGCUCUAACAUGAAGAUGGACAGCAAUGAGGAUGCUAAAGAUAUCCAUUAUGCCACAGUGUCCAAAAGAAGCCACAGAGAACUGAUCAAUGUUCAGACUCAUACUCCUGUUGAGACUGUGCAAUAUGCCACCAUAACAAAGAACCGACAUCAGUUGCCCAAAUCAAUUCCUCAUCAGGAUCCAGUAUAGAGGGAAUAAGAGAGUUAACUAUCAGCAAUGUUGGUGAAACACUCUUCCUCCAGCAGAGAAGUGUUGGAACAAAGAUAUAUGGAAAAGAGAUAUAUGUCAUUAGACAUGGACUCUAUAUGGAUUUGUUUUGCUUGGCUAUGUUUCUUUAUUGUAAGGGAGAGAUCUCUGGGGUUGGGGGGGCAGAAAAAAUAACAUUGUUUAAAUAUAUGU
rnacentral:lncRNA from 1 species